rnacentral:rRNA from 1 species
UACGUAGGGUGCAAGCGUUGUCCGGAAUUAUUGGGCGUAAAGAGCUCGUAGGCGGUUUGUCGCGUCUGCUGUGAAAACUCAGGGCUUAACCCUGAGCCUGCAGUGGGUACGGGCAGACUAGAGUGUGGUAGGGGAGAUCGGAAUUCCUGGUGUAGCGGUGGAAUGCGCAGAUAUCAGGAGGAACACCGAUGGCGAAGGCAGGUCUCUGGGCCGUAACUGACGCUGAGGAGCGAAAGCGUGGGGAGCGAACAGG